AGACCCGAAACCCGGUGAUCUAGCCAUGGGCAGGUUGAAGGUUGGGUAACACUAACUGGAGGACCGAACCGACUAAUGUUGAAAAAUUAGCGGAUGACCUGUGGCUGGGGGUGAAAGGCCAAUCAAACCGGGAGAUAGCUGGUUCUCCCCGAAAGCUAUUUAGGUAGCGCCUCGUGAAUUCAUCUCCGGGGGUAGAGCACUGUUUCGGCUAGGGGGCCAUCCCGGCUUACCAACCCGAUGCAAACUGCGAAUACCGGAGAAUGUUAUCACGGGAGACACACGGCGGGUGCUAACGUCCGUCGUGAAGAGGGAAACAACCCAGACCGCCAGCUAAGGUCCCAAAGUCAUGGUUAAGUGGGAAACGAUGUGGGAAGGCCCAGACAGCCAGGAUGUUGGCUUAGAAGCAGCCAUCAUUUAAAGAAAGCGUAAUAGCUCACUGGUCGAGUCGGCCUGCGCGGAAGAUGUAACGGGGCUAAACCAUGCACCGAAGCUGCGGCAGCGAACGUAUCACUUAAAGCGAUUCAGCGGGUUACGAUUGACGGAGCGAAGCGACGUC
rnacentral:rRNA from 1 species